UUCGUGCGGCUGACUACCGGCGCCGUGUCUUUUCAUUUGUGUGAGCUAUCUUACUGUUGCCUUUCAAGUGCUUGCGUGAUGUUACCCGACCUACGGGUAUUGGUGCUUCAUACACAGUUGCCUCGCGGUGGACGCCUUUGGGUGUUCUGCUGCGGCCAUAUGGCGCUUGCGGCGUUGCCUCUUGGUGCUGGCAUGUUUCGUGCCUGGUGCUAUCAAGGCAUCCUCGCUCCCGCUGUUGGUUUCGGAUGUUGCUCAUGAUAAAGGCUCGUGGCCCUUUUGGUUGCCUCGACCUGACCCUAAUAAUGCUCUCCGAAUUUGAGAACAACCGGAACAUGUGUUGCCUCUACCUCUCCACAGUUAGUGGUAGGAUUACGCAACAUACUGUGCCGAUCCUCAUACUAGUAGGACGAGCUAGGCCCGCUCAAUUGCGACAACUGGCCCG
rnacentral:misc_RNA from 1 species